rnacentral:rRNA from 1 species
UGGUCGGACAUCAGGAGGUUAGUGCAAUGGCAUAAGCCAGCUUGACUGCGAGCGUGACGGCGCGAGCAGGUGCGAAAGCAGGUCAUAGUGAUCCGGUGGUUCUGAAUGGAAGGGCCAUCGCUCAACGGAUAAAAGGUACUCCGGGGAUAACAGGCUGAUACCGCCCAAGAGUUCAUAUCGACGGCGGUGUUUGGCACCUCGAUGUCGGCUCAUCACAUCCUGGGGCUGAAGUAGGUCCCAAGGGUAUGGCUGUUCGCCAUUUAAAGUGGUACGCGAGCUGGGUUUAGAACGUCGUGAGACAGUUCGGUCCCUAUCUGCCGUGGGCGCUGGAGAACUGAGGGGGGCUGCUCCUAGUACGAGAGGACCGGAGUGGACGCAUCACUGGUGUUCGGGUUGUCAUGCCAAUGGCACUGCCCGGUAGCUAAAUGCGGAAGAGAUAAGUGCUGAAAGCAUCUAAGCACGAAACUUGCCCCGAGAUGAGUUCUCCCUGACUCCUUGAGAGUCCUGAAGGAACGUUGAAGACGACGACGUUGAUAGGCCGGGUGUGUAAGCGCAGCGAUGCGUUGAGCUAACCGGUACUAAUGAACCGUGAGGCUUAACCUUACAACGCCGAAGCUGUU